GUAGUUUCACUAUCUUAAUUCCAAUCUCUAUAUACUUCUAUAAAUUCUAUUCCUAGUUAUACCGAAAUGUCAUCUUGUUAAAUAUCAAAUGUUGUUAAAUCAAAAUUGAAUAUACUAUCCCCACCUUCGAUUAGCUUUCGCUAUUUGUGGGAAUAGUAUUUUCUUUAUUUAUGUAUUUUUUUUUAAUAAAUUGAAAUUGAAUUAAAUUUGGAAGGUUGUCGAUGAGCGAUAAUUAAAGUUAAGAGGAUAUGAUGGCGAUCAUUAAAGUUAAGAGAGCGAGAAGAAAAGCAAUUGGCGUAACGGAAACGCUAGUCUCAGUAGGAAGUAUGGUUUAGGAGAUUUGGAGUAGCAUCUUGACUGCAUGCAUGUCGUGCACAUGCAUGCAUGGCUGCCAAUGUAAUAUUGGACGAGGAUCACUAUAGAUAUGCUAAUGGUCCACCCUACAAUGGUCCACGCCUUAGAGUAAGAUAUAAAACAGUGGUUAUCUUCAAACUGUUCGCAACGAAGUUCGAGUUCGCAGUGGAGUGUUCUUGAAAAAUUUUGUUAAUCAUCUGCACCUCUUCUUGGUAUAUUUUCAGGUAGGUGGAACUGAAAUAUUGCAUAUUUGACUAUAAACUAAGAAACGAAACUUGAAUGCAAUAAAACUAAUUGUAACAAACAAACAAACAAACCAACUAACUAACCAACUAACCAACUAACCAACUAACCAACUAACCAACUAACCAACUAACCAACUAACCAACUAACUAACUAACUAUCUAACUAACUAACUAGCUAACUAACUUGUAUAGUUGCAUAAUUUUCACUGCUGGACCAAUCAAACUGACAGAAAAACUUUCUUGACAAGCUUGUAAACGAAUUACUGAAUCAGCAAAUAAAUUAACUAUAUGCCAGCGAGUAGAUUUUUGCUUUCCUCAUCUUAUAGUAGGAAGUGCGGUAAAAUCACCAGGAAAUUCAAACAGAAAUAUUAACUAAAAGUUAAUUUAACCGUAAAAGGGUUCUUUCUAGGUUUAGUGGGAAUAUUUCAACUGCGAUGUUUUUAGUCGAGUGUAUAUUGUGUGGAAAUUUCUUAUACAAUAAUUGAGAUGAAUAAAUUUUUUUUCCAACUUCGGUAAAUUCUACCAUUAUCUGUACAGAUAACUCUGAGCAUAAUCUGACUAUCAAACCGUGCCAUCAAAUUGCAAGCCUUCCUAACGAAGAGAGAAGUUCGGUGGUCAUUAUUGAAUACCGAAAAAAUGUCUUCCAAAAUCUUGUUGCUGUUGUACCUUGUUCAAUUUUCGCAUGCUGCAGGUAAGAAUUUAUUUUGAAAUAAAGAUUAAAAGAGAACCAAUAAGGUCACAUUGCAUGGAGCG